rnacentral:rRNA from 1 species
UACGGAGGGGGCUAGCGUUGUUCGGAAUUACUGGGCGUAAAGCGCACGUAGGCGGCUUUGUAAGUUAGAGGUGAAAUCCCGGGGCUCAACCCCGGAACUGCCCUUGAAACUGGAGAGCUAGAAUCUUGGAGAGGCGAGUGGAAUUCCGAGUGUAGAGGUGAAAUUCGUAGAUAUUCGGAAGAACACCAGUGGCGAAGGCGGCUCACUGGACCGGUAUUGACGCUGAGGUGCGAAAGCGUGGGGAGCAAACAGG